UAUACAAGUCUUGAAUCCUGAUCUAACCUUCUCUCAUUCACUUGGUAGUGAAGAAUCAGCUAAUGGACAGUUACAUGUAAGCCUCCCUUUAGACAUUGCUAUUGACUGUCAAGGAUUAGUGUAUGUUACUGAUAGUGAUAAUCAUCGCAUUCAGAAGUUCUCUCCAGAUGGAAAGUUUGUGCGUCAGUUUGGUACUUAUGGACCUGGUUCUGAUGAGCUUAAUAGUCCAAUAUGUAUAGCAAUAGACACUGCAGCUACUGGUUUAGUGUAUGUUAGUGAAGAGGGCAAUCAUCGUAUAUCAGUCUUCACUAGUGAUGGUGUGUUUGUUAGUAAGUUUGGAAAUUAUGGCCGUAAUAUUGAUCAGUUUAAUGAUCCUUAUGGAUUAGCAUUAGAUAAAGAUGGAUUCUUAUAUGUUUGUGAUUGGAGGAAUAAACGGCUUGUUGUUUAUUAGACUUAACUUUAUUAUUCAUGAUAGAUUUACUUUUAUAGCUGAAUUACCAAUGAAUUUUUUACAUUAUUUUAUGACAAUCCCUUCUAUUUUAAUAAUUAUUGUAUUUGCACUGUUUUAAACAUGAACCGGUAGUAUUGUAAAAAUAGAUAAAGUGUUAUUUUUCUCUUAUUUUUCUCAUUUCUCAUAAUGCAUUAUUAAUAAAUAGCCAAGCCAUUUUUCAUGUAACUUUGAUAUUUCAAUAAUUAUUUCAUAUUUUUUAAUAUUUCCCAUCAGCUAACAGCAGUAUUGCUAUCAGUACUUAUUCAAUGGUAUCAUACACUCAGAAGAGAGCAUGGGACUCACAACAAGUACUGACACAUGAUAGUCACAUGACAAUCAUGUGAUAGUCAUGUGAUAGUCAAAUGAUGUCAUUAUUGUAUUGUUAGGUAAUGGAUUUCUUACAGAAUAGAGAAUGGGGAGUGAAGAUAUUUAGUUUUAGCUGCUUCUGAUAGUGAUGCUGAUGAAGAGGUCUUGUCCACGUCCGGAGGGGGACAAGGAAAAGGGCGUGGCUUUGAGAGGAAGGCAGGGUUAAUGGCAACAAUGUCAGGCGACAACGACAUGAUGUACAUGGAGUAUUCAGCAAGAGCAAGACCACAGCAUCCUUUAUUUAGACUGAGACACUGAACUAAUGUCAUCCUAAUGUACUGUAUUGUAUUGUAUUUUAUGAUCAUGAUAAUUGUUGGCAUCACGCUUGUGAUUUAAAAUCA